rnacentral:misc_RNA from 1 species
CCAAGAAUGCUAUGGAAAAGCUUCCCUCUGACUCAAGAUGUUUCUAUCCUGAAGUUGUCGAAAGAGGAACUAGUUUCUGAAGCUAGAUUUUGGGGAGCAUUUGGGUUAUAUUCGAUUUUAACAAUGGUUUACCUUGUUGUGGGGCUGAGUGGAGGUUUCUUGACAUUUGUUAUGUCAGCAUUCAUGCUUCUUGCUUGGAUUUCCUUUCGCCUUUCUAUGAAGUCAUUUAUUGUUGGAUCAUUUAGGUCAACUGCAUGUUAUGUGAUCCCUCUCAUUCCUUGUAUAAUGUACAUGGUGUAUUUUGGCGGAUUUCUUGUUGCUUUUGUGAUUGAAAAAAUGGGCAUGACAGGCUCACUCCCCCCACCUUUUGGUUACUUCAUUCCUGAUGUUAUAGUGGCAGCAAUUAUUGGACUGGUGACUAGUUGGUCUGUUGGACCUAUUUUGCCUGUUGUGG